UACGGAGGGUGCAAGCAUUAUCCGGAUUCACUGGGUUUAAAGGGUGCGUAGGUGGGCUGGUAAGUCAGUGGUGAAAUCUCCAGGCUUAACUUGGAAACUGCCAUUGAUACUAUUAGUCUUGAAUACCGUGGAGGUCAGCGGAAUAUGUCAUGUAGCGGUGAAAUGCUUAGAUAUGACAUAGAACACCAAUUGCGAAGGCAGCUGGCUACACGAAUAUUGACACUGAUGCACGAAAAGCGUGGGGAUCAAACAGG
rnacentral:rRNA from 1 species